GAACGCUGGCGGCGCGUCUUAAACAUGCAAGUCGAACGGUAACACUUCGGGUGACGAGUGGCGAACGGGUGAGUAACACGUAGGAACCUGCCCUGAAGUGGGGGACAACCAGCCGAAAGGCUGGCUAAUACCCCAUAGUCCCGCAAGGGUAAAGGAUGGAUACAUUCGCUUCAGGAUGGGCCUGCGGUCCAUCAGCUUGUUGGUAAGGUAAUGGCUUACCAAGGCUACGACGGAUAGCCGGUCUGAGAGGAUGAUCGGCCACACUGGCACUGAGACACGGGCCAGACUCCUACGGGAGGCAGCAGUUAAGAAUCUUGCGCAAUGGGCGAAAGCCUGACGCAGCGACGCCGCGUGAAGGAAGAAGGCCUUCGGGUUGUAAACUUCAUUAAGAUGGGAAGAAUAAGUACGGUCUAAUAGGCCGUGCGAUGACGGUACCAUCCUGCAGCCCCGGCUAAUUACGUGCCAGCAGCCGCGGUAAUACGUAAGGGGCAAGCGUUGUUCGGAUUUAUUGGGCGUAAAGGGCACGUAGGCUGACUGUUAAGUUGGAUGUCUAAUCUCCAGGCUCAACCUGGAACCGGCAUCCAAAACUGACAGUCUUGAGUACCAGAGGGGAAAGCGGAAUUCUUGGUGUAGCGGUGGAAUGCGUAGAUACCAAGAGGAACACCAGUGGCGAAGGCGGCUUUCUGGCUGGAUACUGACGCUCAUGUGCGAAAGCGUGGGGAGCAAACAGGAUUAGAUACCCUGGUAGUCCACGCCGUAAACGUUG
rnacentral:rRNA from 1 species